AGUUUGAUUCUGGCUCAGGAUGAACGCUAGCGGCAGGCUUAACACAUGCAAGUCGAGGGGCAUCGGGAGUAGCAAUACUUGCCGGCGACCGGCGCAAGGGUGCGUAACGCGUGAGCAACAUGCCCGUAUCAGGGGGAUAAUCCAUGGAAACGUGGUCUAAUACCCCAUAGUAAUUAUGUAAGGCAUCUUAUAUAAUUUAAAGCUUUGGUGGAUACGGAUUGGCUCGCGUGACGUUAGCUAGAUGGUAAGGUAACGGCUUACCAUGGCUACGAUGUCUAGGGGUUCUGAGAGGAAGGCCCCCCACACUGGAACUGAGACACGGUCCAGACUCCUACGGGAGGCAGCAGUGAGGAAUAUUGGACAAUGGAUGGAAAUCUGAUCCAGCCAUGCCGCGUGCAGGAAGACGGCCCUAUGGGUUGUAAACUGCUUUUGUAUGGGAGCAAUAAGGGCUACGCGUAGUCCGAUGAGAGUACCAUACGAAUAAGCACCGGCUAACUCCGUGCCAGCAGCCGC
rnacentral:rRNA from 1 species